GAUGAACGCUGGCGGCGUGCUUAACACAUGCAAGUCGAACGAAGCACUUUGGACAGAUUCUUCGGAUGAAGUCCUUAGUGACUGAGUGGCGGACGGGUGAGUAACGCGUGGGUAACCUGCCUCAUACAGGGGGAUAACAGUUGGAAACGGCUGCUAAUACCGCAUAAGCGCACAGUACCGCAUGGUACGGUGUGAAAAACUCCGGUGGUAUGAGAUGGACCCCGCGUCUGAUUAGGUAGUUGGUGGGGUAACGGCCUACCAAGCCGACGAUCAGUAGCCGACCUGAGAGGGUGACCGGCACAUUGGGACUGAGACACGGGCCCAAACUCCUACGGGAGCAGCAGUGGGGAAUAUUGCACAAUGGGGGAAACCCUGAUGCAGCGACGCCGCGUGAGCGAUGAAGUAUUUCGGGAUGUAAAGCUCUAUCAGCAGGG
rnacentral:rRNA from 1 species